GGUCGAAAACCCGCCCCUUCCUUUCGUUGCUACGGACUACAGAGUGUGACGUUGGGCUACCGAGACUGUGUGCAGGUGUGAUGUGCUGCUCACUCUCAGUGCGGUGUGUCGUCAAGGCUCCCAUCUGUGUAGCAUGGUAGUUUAACGCAGGCCCGGUCGGCGCGCCAGCUGUUGACGUCACAACUAUUAAAGAAGCUAUCGUGAUUUUCGUAUGUGCCAUCGUGAGUACUAUGUCAUCGGAUCACGGAGCUGAGUGCUUCCUGAGGCUGGGGGGAGUUCUAUGCUGUACCUUAGGCUUUACUUAAUUAAGGGUUGUUAUUAUUGUCGUUAAGCCUUUCUCAAGGGUUCAGAAGUGGAAUUUGAACUCACAACGCUCCACUGUCUUUACUGAAAAUAAAU